GCCUAACACAUGCAAGUCGAGCGAAGCACUUUGCUUAGAUUCUUCGGAUGAAGAGGAUUGUGACUGAGCGGCGGACGGGUGAGUAACGCGUGGGUAACCUGCCUCAUACAGGGGGAUAACAGUUAGAAAUGACUGCUAAUACCGCAUAAGACCACAGCACCGCAUGGUGCAGGGGUAAAAACUCCGGUGGUAUGAGAUGGACCCGCGUCUGAUUAGCUAGUUGGUAAGGUAACGGCUUACCAAGGCGACGAUCAGUAGCCGACCUGAGAGGGUGACCGGCCACAUUGGGACUGAGACACGGCCCAAACUCCUACGGGAGGCAGCAGUGGGGAAUAUUGCACAAUGGGGGAAACCCUGAUGCAGCGACGCCGCGUGAGUGAAGAAGUAUUUCGGUAUGUAAAGCUCUAUCAGCAGGGAAGAAAAUGACGGUACCUGACUAAGAAGCACCGGCUAAAUACGUGCCAGCAGCCGCGGUAAUACGUAUGGUGCAAGCGUUAUCCGGAUUUACUGGGUGUAAAGGGAGCGUAGACGGAUGGGCAAGUCUGAUGUGAAAACCCGGGGCUCAACCCCGGGACUGCAUUGGAAACUGUUCAUCUAGAGUGCUGGAGAGGUAAGUGGAAUUCCUAGUGUAGCGGUGAAAUGCGUAGAUAUUAGGAGGAACACCAGUGGCGAAGGCGGCUUACUGGACAGUAACUGACGUUGAG
rnacentral:rRNA from 1 species